rnacentral:lncRNA from 1 species
UCGCAGUGCAACAAAAAGAAAAAACCAUCAGGAACUCUCGUUCCCCCGGGGCUUUCCGGAGGGAGAGAGGAGCUGCUGUUUGUCCCACUCGGUUACUGAUAGCACGCCUCUCACCUUCUCCACCGCGCAUGUCCCCAACACGUGGGAAGUGGAAGCUGAGAAGGGAAGGCAGAUGGGAGAAACCAAUAGGAACUUCUCAGUCCUUUUUUCCUCUUUGGGGAAUAAAAUAGGAAUCCAUUAUGAGUGCUUUGCUGACUGAGAAUGUAGUUGAAAUUAUUCUUAAACAUCUUUUAUUAUUACUCUCAGUAGCAAAAUAUCACACUGAAUUCUUCCAUACACAGGCGUAUUUCUAGUCAGUGUGGAGCAAAGACAGUCCCGUUUGCUGCUCCUGUGAGAGGUCAGUGGUGACAGGACAGGGAACUGACCUCUUAAGCCAGUGGGAGUGUUUCAUAGGGAGGGUACAAGGCCUCUUAGAAGGUUCUGGGAGAGGCCUUCCUCCAGCCUGGAAACUCCAGCAGGAAAUGCCCUUCACUCUGUAGGUGCUCGAGCCCCAAUAGAGGAUGCAGUGUGGGUAGUGCUGCUGGCCUAGACCAGCAGAUGGCUGCUGUACGAUUUCAAAUUCAUGUGGUGGAUUCCUACACUUUACAGUAGCGUAGCAAGCAGUCUCAGAAGGCAGGCUAGUUCAUUCACGGCCUGGAACCCAUUUUAAUAGGUGGAUGCUUUCAGUGUGGUUCUUUUUGUUGAGUUGGUUUUUGUGUCCCCAUCCUGCUUCCCAGCCUCUUGCAUCAGUCUCCACCCUUUAGCCAUAUGCUGUACCGUAGUCAUUGUUUUCUUCCUACCGUGUACAACAUCUCACCACGAAACAGCAGCAUGGGGCCAGCACUUGGGGCCCAAAAGCCUGAAGUCUGAAGAGGAAGGAAGCGGCAGUGCAAGCGUCACUGCAGAGGAGCCGGGCUAUGCCCAGUCACAGCUCCUGGCCUUCACCUCGAGGAUGAAGUUGAAGGCCACAGAGACAGAUGCACACUGUGCACAGAAGAAAACACAGCAGAUGCCACUUUGGAGAGGGCAAGAGAAAGGAAUAAACUCUAUUUGAUAAUUUAUAUUAGGAGGAAAGAGGACUGAAGAUGUUCUGUGUAGGAACAGAAGAACGGACAGCAUUUCUGUUAGUCAUUUCCUGGAAAAGUAAUAUUUUAAUGGGAAAUUAUGGAAACAAUCUAAAUGUCCAAUUGCUGUGCUAGGGUAGGGAUUAUUUUCUGGGAGGUGUGUGUGUGUGUGCGCGCGUGUGUGUCCCACACAUGGCUUUCUACUCUCCCAGAGGGCAAGGGCUAAGUGUGGGAAAUAGUGUGGAGCUUAGCUGAAGGACAGCUGUAGAGCAAAGCACAUCCAGGAGCCCCAGGUGUCACUGGGGUCUGGGCAGCCCCGAAAUGAGAUGGGGUAAGGUAUUGCUCAUUGCUCUUCAGAAAGAGUGCUUGAAGCCCCAGGCUUACUCUAUUGCUCUUUUAGUUUGACAUGGUAUUUGGAUUUUUUUUCUUUUUUCUUUUUUUUUUUGUUUUUUUGUUUUUUUGUUUUGUUUUUUGGGUUUUGGUUUUUGUUUUGUUUUGUUUUUGAAAGGUCUGAAAGUGAAACCCUUCACUAAAUGGCAAAAGAAACUGUCUGUGCUGCUCCAGUCCCUCCCUGUGUCCAUCUUUGUCCUCUCCCUGUCCCUUCCCUGCUACCUUCACCCAGUUUGUGUAUGUAAGCUCUGCAUUCAGACAGCUG